CCGAUCUUGAUACUUUACAACCCUGAUGUUUGUUUACCUUUUGCACUUGCCAAUUAAUUGGUAAAAAUAAAUAUAUAAAUUGAUCUUGAAGCUGCUGUGGAGGAAAAAUAGCAAACGAUACACAUAUAAUAUGAUGUGCGUGUGUGUGUAUACAUGCAGGUAUGUGAUUAUUUGGUGAAGGUUAGAAUGGAGAAGCGCAUACACUUGUUGUUCAACGGAGCGAAAGCCUAUGUGUGCAGAUAUGUCUUGAUGUACUUGCGUACAUCAAUAUGGCGAUCGGUUAAAUUUUUGGAUGCCCUUAUGGCCACGAACAAUAUUUUAUUUGCGGUUUUUUUUUUGAAUUUUUUAAAUACAAUUGCCCCUCGCUUUAACCACGGACAAUGUGAAGCGAAAAAAUAUAUGUUCAGACACACAAAUAUGAAUUAAUCGGACUGGAGUUGCCGGAAAUUUGGCAAUGGACGAGUUGAGGUAGGUGCACUGCUACUUAUCUUGUUUGAAUUUGUAGCUGUUCCUGGAACCUUUUAUUGCAGAUCCACCAAUGCUUGCUGGGGCGAACUGGAUAUGCCAAAUGUUGAUGAAGUAUCCGGCUCGAAGGACCAAAUGUUGUAGUAGGGCGUCCGCAGGGCUUCCAGAUGAACUUUACAAAUUGCUGUAUCGUUGGGGGAGCGUUUCUGCUCUUCACAAAUUUUCUUAGUAGGUUUGAAAAAAACACGUUUGUUCGCUUGCAGGUUAUUUUUUCUUCUGUUCUAUAUUUUCAGAGUACAUUACAAUGUAUUAGUGUAAGUGAGGUGAAAUUUCAUGUUCCAUGUACUGGUUCCGGAGUUACAUGGCGGUUGGAUGGCGACUGCCGGAUACACUUCUUGUGUGAACAGUGCCUAUGCUGCAGCGG